GACGAACGCUGGCGGCGUGCUUAACACAUGCAAGUCGAGCGGUAAGGCCCUUUCGGGGGUACACGAGCGGCGAACGGGUGAGUAACACGUGGGUGACCUGCCUCUAGCUCUGGGAUAAGCCUGGGAAGCUGGGUCUAAUACCGGAUAUGACCUCGCGGUGCAUGUUGCGGGGUGGAAAGCCUUGUGCGGCUAGGGAUGGGCCCGCGGCCUAUCAGCUUGUUGGUGGGGUGANGGCCUACCAAGGCGACGACGGGUAGCCGGCCUGAGAGGGCGACCGGCCACACUGGGACUGAGACACGGCCCAGACUCCUACGGGAGGCAGCAGUGGGGAAUCUUGCGCAAUGGGCGAAAGCCUGACGCAGCGACGCCGCGUGAGGGAUGACGGCCUCGGUUGUAACGU
rnacentral:rRNA from 1 species